rfam:Crenothrix polyspora isolate RSM_CP1 genome assembly, contig: CRENPOLYSF1_Contig_107
AAACGUGUGAGGCGACGAACAGAAACCGCAUAUAAGGCCAAGCCUGCGGGGCGAGUUGGCACAGGACGACAAAGCCCAUCGGUUUAGUAGGCAUGGUAAAUGCGGCGCUUGUAUACCGAAA